CAGUCGCCGCGGGAAUACGUAGGGUGCAAGCGUUAAUCGGAAUUACUGGGCGUAAAGCGUGCGCAGGCGGUUAUAUAAGUCAGAUGUGAAAUCCCCGGGCCCAACCUGGGAACUGCAUUUGAGACUGUAUGGCUAGAGUGUGUCAGAGGGGGGUAGAACUCCACGUGUAGCAGUGAAGUGCGUAGAUAUGUGGAGGAAUACCGAUGGCGAAGGCAGCCCCCUGGGAUAACACUGACGCUCAUGCACGAAAGCGUGGGGAGCAAACAGGAUUAGAUACCCGAGUAGUCCCUGUCUCUUAUAC
rnacentral:rRNA from 1 species